GACAGUCCCUGCUACUAAGAAGCUCAGACCAACCAGAGUUCAAGCAAGUAAAGGGCUGCUGGUGUGACAGCUGUGGAGGAGAGGCUGGGCCAGUGUCCUCACCUCCACUGCUGGAGCUGUCAUCAUCACUUCUUCAGGAGCUCUCGGAGUCCGAGGAGCUGCUCCCACUGCUGCUGCUCAUCUGCUCAAUAAUGUCAACUUCAGCCCUCGGCUCUCUUUUGAUGUCAUCCAGCUGAGGUUCAGGUGAGGGGUUACCC
rnacentral:lncRNA from 1 species